rnacentral:lncRNA from 1 species
GAUGAUGGGUGGAAACCCAUACCAACAACAACAAUACAUGGCUGCAAUGAUGAAUCAACAAAGGGCAAUACCAGCUGGUGGAAAUGAUAGAUUUCAACCAAUGAUUUAUGCAAGACCACCAAUGGCUGUUAAUUACAUGUAUCCUCCACCUUAUAGCUAUCCUCCUCCACCACAACAUCCUCAUGAUCCAUACUCCAACUUUUUCAAUGAUGAAAAUACUUCAAGCUGCAGUGUUAUGUGAAGAAAUGAGAUGUUGAAUUCGUGAUGUUGGCAAGAGAAGAAAAGAAGUAGAAAUGAGUUUUAAUUUUAGUUUGCUU